rnacentral:rRNA from 1 species
UACAGAGGGGGCAAGCGUUAUUCGGAAUUAUUGGGCGUAAAGAGCUCGUAGGCGGUCUGUCGCGUCGAUCGUGAAAACUUGGGGCUUAACCCUGAGCUUGCGGUCGAUACGGGCAUGACUGGAGUUCGGCAGGGGAGACUGGAAUUCCUGGUGUAGCGGUGAAAUGCGCAGAUAUCAGGAGGAACACCGAUGGCGAAGGCAGGUCUCUGGGCCGAUACUGACGCUGAGGAGCGAAAGCGUGGGGAGCGAACAGG